rnacentral:lncRNA from 1 species
AGCUCUCUCUCCAUAUCAUAUCACCCACAAGUCCACCAUGCCUACAAAAAAGGAUGUUUAAGAAUAAAAGGCUGUACAAAACAAAUAUCAUCUCAAGAAAUUGAAAACAUAAAUUUAUAACUAAAACUUACAUAAGCUUUAGUCAUUAAGAAACAUUAUUUUAAUUUUGUACGGCUUUGUUUGUAACAUUCACGUCAAGUUCUGCAAAAAGAACGUGACAAAUUAAGUACUUGUAAGGAAUAAAUAAUAAUACAUAGUCACUUGAGAAAAAAAUAU